rnacentral:misc_RNA from 1 species
GAUGAAGAACGUAGCGAAAUGCGAUAAGUAAUGUGAAUUGCAGAAUUCAGUGAAUCAUCGAAUCUUUGAACGCACAUUGCGCCCCCUGGUAUUCCGGGGGGCAUGCCUGUUCGAGCGUCAUUUCACCACUCAAGCCUCGCUUGGUAUUGGGCAACGCGGUCCGCCGCGUGCCUCAAAUCGACCGGCUGGGUCUUCUGUCCCCUAAGCGUUGUGGAAACUAUUCGCUAAAGGGUGUUCGGGAGGCUACGCCGUAAAUCAACCCCAUUUCUAAGGUUGACCUCGGAUCAGGUAGGGAUACCCGCUGAACUUAAGCAUAUCAAUAAGCGGAGGA